rnacentral:piRNA from 1 species
UGUUCACCUAGGAGACAAUGAGAUGC